rnacentral:lncRNA from 1 species
UUACAUAGUGCAUAAUUAUGCAUCAAGAACUAUCUUAUAUACAAGAUAGCAAAAUGAUAUACCAAAAGCAUGAUAUAGGGAUACUUGUCACUACUACACAAAAUAUGAUAUAACAAAAUGAUACACCAAAAGUAUAAUAUAGAUCGUCAUGGUGUGACGCUCCAAGACUCGAAUUCAACAAAAUAAAUUCAAGCUUCGUACACAACAAAAUCCAAAGUUUAACCAAUUGUUUUGACCAAAUCAAAGCAAAUUCAAGGUUGAAGUUUUCAUAAGGUUUAACAAAAUAUCUAUUCCAAAAAGUUAAAAUCAAACUAUCUUCAAGCUUCAUCUUCUUCAAACACUGUAGAUAGUACCGACAAUUCUGUAACAAAAAUAAAAAUGUAUUCUUAAACUAUGAAAAUCUUUACUAGAAAAAUUAAAAAUAAACAUUUAAUUUUGUGAGUUGUAGUUAAGUAUGUUACCAUCUUCAUGUUUCGA